ensembl:snRNA U6 U6 spliceosomal RNA
GUGCUUAUUUAGGAGUAUCUACACUAAAAUAAGAACAAUACAGAUGUUAGUAGGGCCCCUAAGCAAGGAAAAUACAAAUUCAUGAAGCUAUCUAUAUUUUU